UCAAUAAAUUAAACAAGUAAAACUUUAUCCAUGAAUGGAGCCCGCCUUUGGGUUGGUGCGUGAUGAUAUGGCGGAGCCGAUACAACUCUGAAGACGGUGGCGGGUCUUCAUAAUUCAUACAUUUUAACAUCGGCAAAGCAAGGCACGUUUAUGCACUAGAUCCUGCUGGUGUACUCCCACUAGAGCUAUGGACAUCAACUUCCCUUACCUAUCUGUAUGUUUUCUUUCUUAUACACACACCUCCACAUAUUUCUUUUACAAUAUUACAUGACAGGUAGAGUGGAGGAUUUGAUUCUACGGCUUUUUCAAUGUGGAAUGUUUUUACUGGUAGCACACAAUUUAAUUGAGCUUGAUUUGAUUCCAACAAUUUCUCUGCUUCCUUACCACCAGAGCUUGGAAAUCUUUGUACGUUAGAGCAACUGAACCACUAGAAAGAAAGUGAAAUGGAGAAACAUCAUAUUUACAGCAUACUCUACACAAAAUCUUCUUUAUGUUUUGGUUCAAGUUAAGGGUUCUAUUUACAGCAUACUCUACACAUUACGGGUGUUAAUUAACAAUCUUUUCCACACUAUAUAUACACGUUUAAACCCCAUCUUAAACCACGCAAGCCUCUAAAUGCCAUAUAAACAUAUAAUUCCCAACAUCCCUUUCAAAUGUCAAUCAUCAAGAACCAGAAAAGAGAAAGAUAACAACACCUUUGCUUCACUCACUUCUACUACUCCACAUGAUACUGAAAAGAAGAAACUUAGGGAAAAAGAAAAACAAUUUAGGGAAAAAGAAAAACAAUUUGAAGUGUGCAUAUAUUUUAUAGCUUACAAACCAAGAGAAUAGAAAAGUUGAAGUACAGAACAUUUCACAAUAAGCUAACAAACAGAAACAUUGUAAGUGUAGUGAAGAGGGUGAGGAGAGGCUUCAAACUGAAAAAGGACGCAAUUCUGAAGCUCGUCCUUGCAAAUCAGAGCUCCCAACUUCUCCAAAUCUCUCAUAUUUUCCACAAGUAUGAUGAGAUUAACCAUUACAAGAACCACCAAAAACACCAAAUAAACAAACUUUGAAGCAUUGAAAAAUAUGGAAUACGCAACCAAUGACAAGAACUGCAUGGCCUUUAGCUUUCGCUUUGCUUCGGAUCUUCUCUCUUCCUUUGAUAAAUAUGUAGAGUUUCAAAACUGCUACACAAACAGUUCAACUUAUAUGUAUGUACGUGCCAAUGUAGGCAUAGCCAAGAAGAUUAUUAGUGGAGUUUUUUCUGUUCACCACUUAAAUAUACAAAACAGUUGGUUGUUGAAUUGGUAUUAAAUGAGAGGAUUGAAUUGUACACACCAUUCUUAUGGAAUUUAAUUCUUUAUAUAUUAUGUCUAUUGUUCCUGA